UACGAAGGGGGGCGAGCGUUGUUCGGAUUUACUGGGCGUAAAGGGCGCGUAGGCGGCCUGUCAGUCAGGCGUGAAAGCCCCGGGCUCAACCUGGGAACGGCGCUUGGGACGGCGAGGCUGGAGUUCGGGAGAGGAGAGUGGAAUUCCCAGUGUAGAGGUGAAAUUCGUAGAUAUUGGGGAAGAACACCGGUGGCGAAGGCGGCUCUCUGGACCGACACUGACGCUGAGGCGCGAAAGCUAGGGGAGCAAACGGG
rnacentral:rRNA from 1 species